UGCUUCUACUGCACUCAGUCUUAUUAAAACUACUCUAAGAGACACCGACAAGAAUUGUCUCCUUGUUUCUUAUUCUCUUCCUCUUUGCAAGUACAAUGAUUAGUUUUGCAUAGACUCCAGUGUUGGGCUUCUUAUCGGUUGAGGAAAUCCUUGAGUGUAAGCGGAUAAGUUCACCCAUAAAACAUGAAAAUGUAGUCAUUAUCGAGUUGUCCUCAUGCCGAUGGACAGUCAGGGGACGUUUGGUAGUCCACAAAACCUUUUUAGAGCAUUGCAGCAAAGUAACAGUACAAGUUUCUUUUACGCAACUACAGCAGAUGGGGGGGAAAAACAUGAAAUUGCUCUGUAGAGGUAGUCCUGUGUAAUACAAGUAUACAGAAGCCCCAAUCUCCAAAAGUGAUUUUAAAGAGACAAUAUUUAUGCCUUCGUUUGAGCUGAUAUCUUCACUGUAGCUGCUAAGCUAAAAGCGUUAGCUCGCACCCCCAUCUGAAGAGCGUGCAUAAGUUCGAUCACACCUCUAGGGAAUAAAUCACAUCUUUACGGGUCAAUUUUGGAUCCUACGGGUUCUAGACACUUGGAUCAUCAGACGAACUGUACUGAGUAACUGUCGUUUUUGUUUUUCUGAUGUUUUUCAAGCUUAAAAAAAGGAAAGUCCCCAUCUGCUUCAGCUGCAUCGCUGUUAAAUUCCAGAAAUGUUUUGUUGACUACCAAACUUCACUUAACUUACCAUCAACAUGGGGCUAAGUAGUUAAUGACGACAUUUUCAUUUUGGGGGAACUUAACUUGACUUGGAUCCCACUGAAAUGUGGCAAGUUUAAAAAAACAAAAAAAAACAAAAACAUAAGUUAUUUUAAAUAAGUUAGAAGUUUUGUAGUUAAAAAUUAAAGAGUGGCUCAGUCAUAAAGGGAAACUAAGAUAAAAGAGGGGCAGGUUUCACAGUGUGUUUUGGUCUGUUAUCAGGUUCUCAUUUUGCCAAUUUUCUUCUUCUUUUUUUUUUUUUUACACUGCUUCAAGAUCAAAUAAACACACCAGGGAUUCCAGUGAGAUGUUACUACAGCUUUUAAAAACACCGGGUAGCCUCGCACAAAGGUAAACAAAGCAGAAUGUCACUGACCUCUAAAACUCUGCACAUCAUUGGCAGCUGAAGAUUACAGGCGAACAGGAUGGAAGGAAGGAUUAUUCACAUUCACAAUGGACAGAGAGGCAACAGUGAUGCACUGUACAUGAAUUAGUAAAUCCCUCGGAAAACCUUGCCUUUCAUUCUCAGGCCUUUCGCAAUUAAAAUUUCCUCCAACAUUUGCCACCAUCGGUUUGCAGCGCUGACUUUUCAUGCUCACUGAAGCAAGUUGUCACUUCCAUUAAUAAGUGGGCACUUGUUUGUACUAGCUAGCAUUUUUCUUUGGUGACUGAGAGCAACCUUUUUGGACAGGUACCACCUCACUUCUACCAAGCCUGCAUUCAUUACUGCUUUAAAAAUUCAUCCGUCCUUUAAUUAAUUUCCGUUUAAAUCCCCAUUCAGAAACACAUUUAGGUUAAAACACAAGGGUGGUGAUUAAAAGUCUGAGCCAGGAAAAGCAAAAUUGGCAAAAGAAGUCUUUACAUGACUGGAAGCUGUUUUGUUUAUCAACUUUAGGAUGUGUUGAAGACAGCAUGUAAAGGAUGUAGUGUUAUGGAAUCGCCUUUUUUAAUCAGAGCACCAGGGAUUCCUUUCGUCGCAAAAUAAAAAAGGCAAUGAAUGAGAAUCAUUAGCCGAGUGAGGUAAAACUUCUGAAAUGUUAAGAUUUGAAAAAAGUUCAAGUGUUGCAAAAUCCCUCACAGAUUUCAGGGUAAUGAUCAAUGUCGUUUUUGUGCAUUUUGAGAAGACUCAACAAAGUGAUGCGAAGAGGGGAAAGAAAACAGAAACGUUAGUGCGCUCAUCUUACACUGGUUGAUAUGGUAGGAGGAGAAGAAAAAGUUUGACUUCACAGAUUAAAAAACAAGAGUUCAUAAUCUUAUCACGUAGUAAAACUGAGGUGUGUAAAACAACAAAUAGGAAUGGCAUCAAAUUUCUGCUCUGGCUUAAUUAACGCAACAAUCUUCCAGAUUAGAUUCAUCAGUGCAAUGCACAUUUCCUCGGUGGCACUUAAUGAAUUUUGGGUUGACACUACACUUAAAACUCCUCCUCACCCACGCUCCAGUUACAUCCUCCCCCCGAUACGAACCUUGGCUCUGACACCGUCAUGUUUUAUCUUUUUUUUCUCUUGAACUGCACAGUUGUCUGAAUAUAUUAUACACAUCAAACUUUACAAUGAAAGGUUUUGGAACAUUUCAGGGCUCAGCCUCUUUGUCAAGCUUAGGCCUAAAUUAAAAACACCAUCCAUGUAUUACACUCUGUAAUGUGGUCAGAGUAAGAGAGAGAGAGACAGAGAGAGUGAGAGAGAGAGAGAGAGAGAGAGAAAGAGAGAGCGAGAGA